CAAUAUAAAAUGCAUUUGAGCGCUUAUCCAAAUCAUUCGCAUAGAAAUAUUUCAACCUAAGAAUAUUGUAUAAGCAAAAAGAUGGAAUCCUGGCAAUUGACAGUAUCGGGACUCUUAAUUGCAUUGGCUUUUGCCGCGGUCGCACAGCAAUGCACGGAUGAUAAUAAUACCUACAAUGAUGAUGAAACCUUUACACGAACCGGAAGUCCAUGCAUCCAAUAUGUCUGUAAGAAAGGUUCUAUUGAAUUAUCUUUACUCGAAUGUCAAGAUGGCAGUGGAGACUGUAAACCCAUUGGUACAAACAAAACAUAUUUCAAUGGUUGUCUUGUAAUGGAAUGUAUUCACAGUGGUAAUAGCAUUGGCUUCCAAACGACUAAAGAAGCAUGUUAUGAUGGUACCAAAUGUGUUGAUUUAAAUGAUGAGUCAACGACUAAUUGUAUGACAAGACGUUGUGAGAAAAACUCUGAUGGAGCUAUUCAGUUUCAAUAUACCAAUCUUCAAUGUGAGGAUAAGGAUGGGGCUUGUUGGAAUCAUGGUGAUACAUUCCAGAAAAGAUUCGAGGAUGGACAUGUUGGUAACAGUUGUACAUGUACGACUGAUAUUAAUGCUUCGCCUGUGCAAGUAAAUUAUACAUGCGCAUCGUAAUACCACUAUUCCUUACAAGUAAAUUGAAAUAACAUUUACAUUGUGAUAAUUCUAUCCUCUAUAAGUAAAUUGUAUAUGUACAUCAUAAUAAAUAUAUCUUCUACGUGUAAAGUAUCGUCAGCACACUAUCCACAACAAGUAAAGUGCAUAUGUACAUCACAAUAACACUAUCCACAAAAUAUAAAUUGUAUAAUAUGUACGCUAUCACAUUCUCAGAUAUAAAUGAUAAAUCUCUAUCAAUAUAUACACAGGGUAUAAUUCUAAUAUGGAAUGCGAUGUUUAUUGUUGAGCGACGUGUCGACUAUGCUUCUCGAUAUUAAUGUAUGCUAAAUUAAAGUUAUCUAUUUCUUUAUUAAUUAUUGCUGGGAGAAUUGUCCAAUUAAUCACUUAUCCUGUUUUCGUAUCUUCAAAAAGAAACUUUUGAUUUGAAUAAAUUUUGUGCUGAAAGUAUGUUAUCACAAA